GUCGCAAGACCAAAGUGGGGGACCUUCGGGCCUCAUGCCAUCAGAUGUGCCCAGAUGGGAUUAGCUAGUAGGUGGGGUAACGGCUCACCUAGGCGACGAUCCCUAGCUGGUCUGAGAGGAUGACCAGCCACACUGGAACUGAGACACGGUCCAGACUCCUACGGGAGGCAGCAGUGGGGAAUAUUGCACAAUGGGCGCAAGCCUGAUGCAGCCAUGCCGCGUGUGUGAAGAAGGCCUUCGGGUUGUAAAGCACUUUCAGCGGGGAGGAAGGCGAUAAGGUUAAUAACCUUGUCGAUUGACGUUACCCGCAGAAGAAGCACCGGCUAACUCCGUGCCAGCAGCCGCGGUAAUACGGAGGGUGCAAGCGUUAAUCGGAAUUACUGGGCGUAAAGCGCACGCAGGCGGUCUGUCAAGUCGGAUGUGAAAUCCCCGGGCUCAACCUGGGAACUGCAUUCGAAACUGGCAGGCUAGAGUCUUGUAGAGGGGGGUAGAAUUCCAGGUGUAGCGGUGAAAUGCGUAGAGAUCUGGAGGAAUACCGGUGGCGAAGGCGGCCCCCUGGACAAAGACUGACGCUCAGGUGCGAAAGCGUGGGGAGCAAACAGGAUUAGAUACCCUGGUAGUCCACGCCGUAAACGAUGUCGAUUUGGAGGUUGUGCCCUUGAGGCGUGGCUUCCGGAGCUAACGCGUUAAAUCGACCGCCUGGGGAGUACGGCCGCAAGGUUAAAACUCAAAUGAAUUGACGGGGGCCCGCACAAGCGGUGGAGCAUGUGGUUUAAUUCGAUGCAACGCGAAGAACCUUACCUGGUCUUGACAUCCACAGAACUUUCCAGAGAUGGAUUGGUGCCUUCGGGAACUGUGAGACAGGUGCUGCAUGGCUGUCGUCAGCUCGUGUUGUGAAAUGUUGGGUUAAGUCCCGCAACGAGCGCAACCCUUAUCCUUUGUUGCCAGCGGUUAGGCCGGGAACUCAAAGGAGACUGCCAGUGAUAAACUGGAGGAAGGUGGGGAUGACGUCAAGUCAUCAUGGCCCUUACGACCAGGGCUACACACGUGCUACAAUGGCAUAUACAAAGAGAAGCGACCUCGCGAGAGCAAGCGGACCUCAUAAAGUAUGUCGUAGUCCGGAUUGGAGUCUGCAACUCGACUCCAUGAAGUCGGAAUCGCUAGUAAUCGUAGAUCAGAAUGCUACGGUGAAUACGUUCCCGGGCCUUGUACACACCGCCCGUCACACCAUGGGAGUGGGUUGCAAAAGAAGUAGGUAGCUUAACCUUCGGGAGGGCGCUUACCACUUUGUGAUUCAUGACUGGGGUGAAGUCGUAACAAGGUAACCGUAGGGGAACCUGCGGUUG
rnacentral:rRNA from 1 species